rnacentral:sRNA from 1 species
CCCAUGAAGAGAUGGAAAACCAAGACAUUUAAAGAAAUAAAUAUAGCACAGGCAGCAGCAGUGCAAGCUUCCCCUGCAUUGCCUUGUGAAUGUAACUCAACCUGGAUCUGAAAGGACCUGUUUGGGAGAUAAGGUAGUUCAACCUCCAUGGUCCAUUUGCUACU